AAACUAUUGAGAAGAAGUUGGCUAAUCUCAUAAAAAAAAAAAAAAGGAGAGAUGUAUCAUUGAAGGACUGCAUGCGACGACUGUUCAAAAAAAAAAAUAAAAAUUACAAGGACUGGCAGUCUGCUGUAGAGUGUAUCGAAAUAACAGAUGUCUUACUGUGCCUGGCUAACUACAGUCAAAAAAAAAAAGGUCCUAUGUGUCGCCCAGUAAUUCUGUUGCCAGAAGAUACCCCCCCCUUCUUAGAGCUUAAAGGAUCACGCCAUCCUUGCAUUACAAAGACUUUUUUUGGAGAUGAUUUUAUUCCUAAUGACAUUCUAAUAGGCUGUGAGGAAGAAAAAAAAAAAAAUGGCAAAGCCUAUUGUGUGCUUGUUACUGGACCAAAUAUGGGGGGCAAACCUUUUAAAAAAAAAAACACAGGCUGGCUUAUUAGCUGUAAUGGCCCAGAUGGGUUGUAAAAAAAAAAAUGAAGUGUGCAGGCUCACACCAAUUGAUAGAGUGUUUACUAAAAAAAAAAAAUCAGAUAGAAUAAUGUCAGGUGAAAGUACAUUUUUUGUUGAAUAAAAAAAAAAAGCCAGCAUACUUAUGCAUGCAACAGCACAUUCUCUGGUGCUAAAAAAAAAAAUAGGAAGAGGUACUGCAACAUUUGAUGGGACAGCAAUAGCAAAUGCAGUUGUUAAAGAACUUGCUGAGACUAUAAAAUGUCGUACAUUAUUUUCAACUCACUACCAUUCAUUAGUGGAAGAUUAUUCUCAAAAUGUUGCUGUGCGCUUAGGACAUAUGGCAUGCAUGGUAGAAAAUGAAUGUGAAGACCCCAGCCAGGAGACUAUUACCUUCCUCUAUAAAUUCAUUAAGGGAGCUUGUCCUAAAAGCUAUGGCUUUAAUGCAGCAAGGCUUGCUAAUCUCCCAGAGGAAGUUAUUCAAAAGGGACAUAGAAAAGCAAGAGAAUUUGAGAAGAUGAAUCAGUCUCUACGAUUAUUUCGGGAAGUUUGCCUGGCUAGUGAAAGGUCAACUGUAGAUGCUGAAGCUGUCCAUAAAUUGCUGACUUUGAUUAAGGAAUUAUAGACUACAUUGGAAGCUUUGAGUUGACUUCUGACAAACUUGGUAAAUUCAGACAACAUUAUGAUCUAAUAAACUUUAUUUUUUAAAAAUGA